rnacentral:lncRNA from 1 species
GGAUGAGCCAUGCCCCCCAUCUGGCUCUGACCUCCCCUGCGCCAGCUCUGGGUACUAGAAAGUCGCGGUUCUGCUGCUAGACGUUUUCUUCCUUUCUUUAGGUUGUUGCAUGGCAUAAGUAAAGUGACAGUUAUAGGAUACAUGCAACUUUUCAGUGACAAAGAUCUGUGCAGCAUCGACAGUACUGCCUAAUGAGGUUUCACCAUAAUGAAGUAUCACAACCAGUUUACAGACCAGAAAACUGAGACACAGGAAGGGGUGGUGACUUGAGCAAGGUGCAUCAGCUGGUUUCCAGAAGUUCCCCAGUCAUUGAGCAUUUCUGAGGCUCUUGAUGCAUAUGCCAAGUAGUUAUGGAGAAAGACACAGCAGCUUACCUCUGCAGGCAUCAUUGUGUGAAAGGAAGACCCAGGCUCUCUCACCACCCUUGAACAGAAGCCUUUUGCUAAGGUGAUAGCUACAUGUCCAAGCCUAUUGCGUGGCAUGCAUUUUGCCUUCUGCAGCCCACUAAAGGAAAUUGAAGUAUACAGAAUGCUUAUUUGGUCUACUCAGUAUCAUCCUAAAUGUAUGUACCAAUGCUUAGGAGUUUGCAGUUCACCCGCAAACCUCAGCGAUCCAAGCUCCCCUGGAUGACCAUCACUCACCAAGAAAAGAGCAAUAACAGGACCUGUUUUGCUAAUCCAGGAC